GGAGGCUGCAAGGACUCGGCAGAGGUGCUGCUCACCAGCAGGGCUGGGAGAGGAUGGAAUCCUCGAAGUCAUUGAUGGCAUUGCUCUCCCAGUUCACUCUCACUCCCAGCAGCGUGGAGGGCAGGAACCCCUGCUCAGCAUAGACGGUGAAAUAGGUGACGAAGGCCCCCACUGACUGCAUGAUUCCUGCAGAAACAAAGGGGCAGGAAUGAGGAAAAACCGAAAUUAAGGAGCGCUGGCGGAUGUGCUGGAUGCAUGAAACAUGCUGAAGUGAAUCAGCUUGAGUCUUGCUUUGCUGACACGAGAGAGCGUUGGGGAGGCCAACCCACCGAUCUGCAGCUGCAGGAUAAAGCCUCAAAAUCCCCUGGAUUUUUUCCUGGGUGUGCCUCCACCCCCAGCCCCUCUCCCUGGCAGGAUAUUCCAGCAGGAAAUGCCUUUGAAGCUCCCAACUCACGAUGUCCGUGCCCAGGUCGAUGAAGAGGAUGGUGAUGGUGCCAAUGGGCAUUGGGAUGCUGGCAAUGAUGUAGAUGAGGAAGGGGCAGAGCUCAGCAAUGUUCUUGGUCAGGGUGUAGGCAAUGGUUUUCUUCAGGUUGUCAAAAAUCAGGCGGCCUGGGGGAAGAGAAAAUUCUUCUGUUAAAGGGAAUUUUUAUCAGAAAAAAUGUUUAAAUUUAACUAAAUGAAAUGGAAACAUUUACUGCU